GUCGGGACGAAGCCACGCUGCACGCGGCGUGUCUCGCGCUAGUACAGUCUCCUGAAGAUGUCGAUAUAGAUGCUGGUGAAAUGCUGACCGCGCUGCAAAUAAUAUUUUCGAGCGACGUAGACCCGAAGAUACACACAGAGGCUGUAAGGAAAUUCGACUAUUUACUCACUAAGGAGAGAAGUCCGGACGUAGACAUUCGCGAUGCUAUGCGCUCUGUAGAGAAACUGAGAGCGCGCGGCGACCGAACGGACCGAGACGUCCGGAUACUUCACAGAGAAAUCACUAUGUUUUUAGG